UACAGAGGCCCCAAGCGUUAUCCGGAAUCAUUGGGCGUAAAGGGUGCGUAGGCGGUUUUGUUAGUUUUCUGUUAAAUCUCUUGGCUUAAACAAGAACUUGCAGAGAAUACGGCAAGACUCGAGAGUACGAGGGGUGUGUGGAACUCAUGGAGUAGGGGUGAAAUCCGUUGAUAUCAUGGGGAACACCAAAAGCGAAGGCAACACACUGGCGUAUUUCUGACGCUGAAGCACGAAAGCUAGGGGAGCGAACGGG
rnacentral:rRNA from 1 species